rnacentral:misc_RNA from 1 species
UCACUGCUUGCGCAGGCAGUCUCGCUAGAGUCCCCGGCAUAACCCGCUGGUAACUAGCAAUAGGGGUUGCGUUCGUUGCGGGACUUAACCCAACAUCUCACGACACGAGCUGACGACAGCCAUGCAGCACCUGUGUUCCCGCCAGCCGAACUGAAGGAUCCCGUCUCCAGGACCCAUACGGGACAUGUCAAGGGUUGGUAAGGUUCUGCGCGUUGCUUCGAGUUAAACCACAUGCUCCACCGCUUGUGCGGGCCCCCGUCAAUUCCUUUGAGUUUCAGCCUUGCGGCCGUACUCCCCAGGCGGGAGACUUAACGCGAAGAACCUUACCAGGUCUUGACAUCCAGAGAACUUUCCAGAGAUGGAUUGGUGCCUUCGGGAGCUCUGAGACAGGUGCUGCAUG